rnacentral:rRNA from 1 species
CCUACGGGAGGCAGCAGUGAGGAAUAUUGGGCAAUGGGCGCGAGCCUGAACCAGCCAAGUAGCGUGAAGGAUGACUGCCCUACGGGUUGUAAACUUCGUUUAUAAAGGAAUAAAGUGAGGCACGUGUGCCGUUUUGUAUGUACGUUAUGAAUAAGGAUCGGCUAACUCCGUGCCAGCAGCCGCGGUAAUACGGAGGAUCCGAGCGUUAUCCGGAUUUAUUGGGUUUAAAGGGAGCGUAGAUGGGUUGUUAAGUCAGUUGUGAAAGUUUGCGGCUCAACCGUAAAAUUGCAAUUGAUACGGGCAGUCUUGAGUACCGUUGCGGUAGGUGGCAUUCGUGGUGUAGCGG